rnacentral:rRNA from 1 species
AUUGAACGCUGGCGGCAUGCCUUACACAUGCAAGUCGAACGGCAGCACGGGAGCAAUCCUGGUGGCGAGUGGCGAACGGGUGAGUAAUGGUAUCGGAACGUACCUUUCAGUGGGGGAUAACGUAGCGAAAGUUACGCUAAUACCGCAUAUUCUGUGAGCAGGAAAGCAGGGGAUCGCAAGACCUUGCGCUGAUUGAGCGGCCGAUAUCAGAUUAGCUAGUUGGUGAGGUAAAGGCUCACCAAGGCGACGAUCUGUAGCGGGUCUGAGAGGAUGAUCCGCCACACUGGAACUGAGACACGGUCCGAGACUCCUACGGGAGGCAGCAGUGGGGAAUUUUGGACAAUGGGCGCAAGCCUGAUCCAGCCAUGUCGCGUGAGUGAAGAAGGCC